rnacentral:rRNA from 1 species
GAUGAACGCUGGCGGCGUGCCUAACACAUGCAAGUCGAGCGAUCUUCUUCGGAAGAGAGCGGCGGACGGGUGAGUAACGCGUGGGUAACCUGCCUCAUACACAUGGAUAACAUACCGAAAGGUAUGCUAAUACAAGAUGAUAUAAGAGAUUCGCAUGGAUUUCUUAUCAAAGCUCCGGCGGUAUGAGAUGGACCCGCGUCUGAUUAGCUAGUUGGUAAGGUAACGGCUUACCAAGGCGACGAUCAGUAGCCGACCUGAGAGGGUGAUCGGCCACAUUGGAACUGAGACACGGUCCAAACUCCUACGGGAGGCAGCAGUGGGGAAUAUUGCACAAUGGGCGAAAGCCUGAUGCAGCAACGCCGCGUGAGCGAUGAAGGCCUUCGGGUCGUAAAGCUCUGUCCUCAAGGAAGAUAAUGACGGUACUUGAGGAGGAAGCCCCGGCUAACUACGUG